rnacentral:rRNA from 1 species
UACGUAGGAUACGAGCGUUAUCCGGAUUUAUUGGGUUUAAAGGGAGCGUAGGCGGACUUUUAAGUGAGAUGUGAAAUACUCGGGCUCAACUUGAGUGCUGCAUUUCAAACUGGAAGUCUAGAGUGCAGGAGAGGAGAAUGGAAUUCCUAGUGUAGCGGUGAAAUGCGUAGAGAUUAGGAAGAACACCAGUGGCGAAGGCGAUUCUCUGGACUGUAACUGACGCUGAGGCUCGAAAGCGUGGGGAGCAAACAGG